rnacentral:rRNA from 1 species
UACAGAGGGGGCAAGCGUUGUUCGGAAUUACUGGGCGUAAAGGGCGCGUAGGCGGCCUGGUAAGUCGGACGUGAAAUCCCCGGGCUCAACCCGGGAACUGCGUCCGAUACUGGCAGGCUUGAAUUCGGGAGAGGGAUGCGGAAUUCCAGGUGUAGCGGUGAAAUGCGUAGAUAUCUGGAGGAACACCGGUGGCGAAGGCGGCAUCCUGGACCGAGAUUGACGCUGAGGCGCGAAAGCCAGGGGAGCAAACGGG